GCAAGGGAGAAGUUCCCUGAAGUUCCUGAACCUGCUGUUGGGACAAUUCGAGCAGCUCCUGGAUCGUUGGGAUUCCCUCGCUGCACCUCCCUCUCCAGCUCCGGUUCCAUGCCGCCUGGAUUCCGGCUCCAGGGUUUCAGCUUCACUCACCAAUACUGCUCUGGCUUCAGCUCCGACUCCACGUCUCCUGCCUCCCGCCGUCAGGACAGCCUCAGUCGCCCUAGGAAGAGCUUCUGACGCUGUCAACCUCGAAGCAGCCUCUACCAAUGCCACCAUCAAAGCGGUCUCUGACGCCGUCAACGCAGCCUUUGGAGCUUCCACCCUUGAAGCUAUCUCCGCCGCCCUCGAAGCUGCCUUUGCAGCAUUGGAAAGAUUUUCUGUCGCACCCAAAGAAGCCUCUGGCGCUGCCUUGCUCGAUGCAGCUUCUGCUGCCAUCGAUGCAGCCUCUGCCACCCUCGAAGCAGCCUCUGAUGCUGCCGCCUCCGAGGUCGUCUCUGCUGCCCCAGAGGUAGCCUCCGUCGCUACCACUCCCAAAGCAGCCUCUGCCUCUCCCGAAGCAGCUUCUAAUGCUGCCGCCCCCGACGUAGCCUCUGUCGCUACCACCCCAGAAGCAGCCUCUGACGCUGCCGCCCCCGACGUAGCCUCUGUCGCUACCACCCCAGAAGCAUCCUCUGACGCUGCCGCCCCGGAAGCAGCCUCUGACGCUGCCGCCCCAGAAGCAGCCUCUGACGCUGCCGCCCCAGAAGCAGCCUCUGACGCUGCCGCCCCCGACGUAGCCUCUGUCGCUACCACCCCAGAAGCAGCCUCUGACGCUGCCGCCCCCGACGUAGCCUCUGUCGCUACCACCCCAGAAGCAUCCUCUGACGCUGCCGCCCCGGAAGCAGCCUCUGACGCUGCCGCCCCAGAAGCAGCCUCUGACGCUGCCGCCCCCGACAUAGCCUCUAUCGCUACCACCCCAGAAGCAGCCUCUGACGCUACCGCCCCAGAAGCAGCCUCUGUCGCUGCUGUCCCUGAAGCAGCCUCUGAAGAAAUUGCUGAUGGUGACGCCACUGAGGCCUACGCCACAGCAGAACCAGCCGCCGCAGAUCAAGCCGCCGCUCUCUCUGCAGACCGAGCCGUCGCUCACCCUGCAGACCGAGCCGUCGCUCACCCUGCAGACCCGGCCGUCGCUGACCCUGCAGACCCGGCCGUCGCUGACCCUGCAGACCCGGCCGUCGCUGACCCAGCAGACCCAGCCGACGCUCACCCAGCUUGUGCGUACCCUACAGCCAGCGCUGCCGACCCGGACCCCGCAGCCACCGCUGCCGACCCACACCCCGCAGCUGACCCGGACCCUGCUGCCACAGCUGCCAAACAAGAUCCUCCAGCAUCCGUUUCCGAUGCAGGCCCAGCAGCACCCUCUGCCGAGACCGGUCCAGCAGCACCUUCUGAUGGCGUCGCUGCUGAGGGCUCUGCUGUUCCAAGCGCCCCUGGCCGGAGCGCCCCUGUCCUGAGCGCCCCUGUCCCGAGCGCCCCAGGCGCCCCUGUCCCGAGCGCCCCAGGCGCCCCGGUCCCGAGCGUCCCAGGCGCCCCGGUCCUGAGCGUCCCAGGCGCCCCUGUCCCGAGCGUCCCAGGCUCCCCUGUCCCGAGCGUCCCAGGCGCCCCGGUCCCGAGCGUCCCAGGCGCCCCUGUCCCGAGCGUCCCAGGCUCCCCUGUCCCGAGCGUCUCAGGCGUCCCGGUCCCGAGCGUCUCCGGCGUUCCUGUCCAAAGCAUCCAAGGUGUCCUUGCGCCGGUUCCAGGCGUCCAUGCGCCGGCCCCAGGCGCUCCGGACCCUGUCUCCAGUGUUCCUGGGUUCCCUGUCCCAGCUGCAGCAGACCCAGGGUUCGGUGCCGCCAGCCCUAAUGAACCAGCGAGUCCAGGUGCCACGUCUACCCCAGCCACUGGCCCUGCAACCCCAAACACCAAUCGAUAUCGCUGGCAUCUAUUUGUUGUUAGUGUUGUUGUUGUUGGUCUGUUUGGCCACCCACCCG
ensembl:lncRNA